AGAGAUAUUUUCCUGACUGUCUAACUACUGACCAAGAUAACUUCAGACCCACCGUAAGUAGGAUUUGAUCAAUGGAGGGAGACAUGUGCUGGAGAUUUGAAGGUGGGAGGAAAGUGAGACUCUCUCAUCUUAAUCAAGUCCUUUAACCCUUUUGGCCUUGGGGUAUCCUGUUGAAGGAUAUGUGCACGUUCAGUCUGUUCUCUGGCUGGGGCCCUGUUAACAGGACUGACAUACAGAUUUAUUUAAAGUUUUAUGCAACACAGGAGACUUCAUGAGGAGAUGAAUACCUGAUGAAACUUGAGUAUUUUUAUACUAAGUUUGAUGAAAAGUGGAAAGUCAUAGGAAAAUCAACAAAAAGGUCUUAUAAGUUAAAUAGUCAUCCAUCCCUCCUGGAUAUCAUUCAAGUUUGACACCUAGAUAACUUAGAAACCUGUGAAGAAAAAGUGGUAUGAUGGAGUUAACCCUUGAAUUGGUCUUCUGCAGCAUGCAAAAUAAGAAAAAGAAGAAGAGGAAAAAGAAGAAGAAGAAGAAGAAGAAGCAGAAGCAGCAGAAGCAGCAGAAGCAGCAGCAGCAGCAGCAGCAGCAGCAGAAAGCACUCAAAAUUCUCUGUGUUUCAUCUUUGGGAACAAACUCUUGGAAGAAAAUCCAUCAAUGACAGUUAUUGAUUAUUUUCUAUGUUGAAAGCUAUUCAAUUUUUUCUGGAGCUUUUUAUGUUAUGAAUAUACAAAGAGGCACCAUAUAGAUUUUCCAUACUCAAAACGUUCAUGAGCUUGCUGGAAAUUCUCUUUUCUUUUCUCAUUUUUUCCAUAAAUGUAGCAGAGAGACUGUUUCCAGGACUUUCCAAGUAGUGUAAAGUCAUUUAACAUUCAGUAACAAAUAUUUUAUUGAAAAUCUAUUAUGAGUCAGAUAUUGUUCUGGACUUAAGAGAUACAACAGUGACCACAAGUGUGAAAAACAUCUGCCUUUAUGGAACUUCUAUUAUCAUAGAAAGAAAAUGAUUUGUUUAAAAGUAGCAGAGAAGACUAGAAACACAAAUUAACCAAAGAGAUGAUUAAAGGGAGAAUUAUGGCUAUCAAAUAAGAAAAGGAAUAUUAACAAAAACUUUGAUUUAAAAUUUGACAAGCCAAAACCAUUGGGACCCACCCCUUUCCUCUGCAUUGCACAUUUUCUUUUGUGCACAGAAUAGCUCUGAAAGCCUUUGUAUAAGAUCAUUUGAAUGAUAACUUUCUUGUUUUCCUUUCUGACCCUAUAAGUUGACUUAGAAAAUUAUUUUCACUAUUUCUCUGUUAGAAAUCAAUCUCUCUGAUUUGUACAAUAUAGGUAUGCAAUUUUGUAAAUAAUUUAAAUGCAAUUUUAUAAAACCCUAGUGAACAUAAGCUUAUGAGUCAAACUUAGAAGGUAGCUUUCACUGUGGUUCCCAUGAUGUGAUAGAUUUAAAAAAAAAAAACUGCAACAAAA